rnacentral:lncRNA from 1 species
AUAGUUUGUUUUUCCUAUUCCUAGAGGGCCCUGCAAAAAGCAGAUACAACCUACAAGAAAUAACAUAACCAAACAAUCAAACAUUACUAUUAAAUGGUGUCUGUGUUCAAUCUACAUGCCAUUCAAAAGAAUAACAUAUAGCUAAGACAGCUGAGGUAUCUACAAUAUUUUCAUAUAACUAAUCAAGACAGGUAAACAUUAACUAUGUAAAAUAAUAGUGGUAAAAAAAUAAGAGGCCUAAAUAAGAACAAAGGAUUUGCGUGAAAGACCUGCCAAGAGAAAAAUGAGCUUUUUAAAAAUACUCGCCUUCAGUAUUCACAACAAGCUAUUUUGACUUGCAAUAAUGGAAGCAAAGUGUUCUUGUAGACUCCAUAGGCUCUGCAACAUUCAGAUCUUGAAUUUCACCUGACACAAAAGUUCUAAGUGAAAUAUGUAAGCCACCACCAGGCAGUUACACUAAUGCAAACGCAUAUGCAUCAGGGGGUAGAUCCCUCCUCAAACUACAAAAGUGGAAGCACAUCAAGUCAUCACAUAAUGUACUUGGCUACAAGCUACUUGCUAGAUUGAUCUAUUUCAGUAUAGCUCAGUAAUAACGUACUUAGCUAAAGGCUAUUUGCUGAACUGAUCUAUGUAUGAUAUCAUAGCCAUAACCUAUGGCACAUUCUAUUUUGUUCUUAGACAAAAUAUCCAAAAGGUAACAACUAAGAACCAGGGAAAUAAAUCUAGAUAUUUUAUGGGUCUCAAUUAUCAAAUAUUAUGUUCAUUGCCACCUACAAAAUAGAUGCUUUCACUCUUGUGCACACAUCUCGUUCCAAUUAAAUUCGUAAUCAGUUAGUACCUUGGAACUUGCAUAUCCAGCACUGGGAAAAACAUGAAUAAACAAUUAUACAUGCUAUAUUCAAAUUAAUUAGAGGACGAUUGAAUCUUCAACAAAACAGUUUAGUCUGGAGAGGAAGAAAGCUUAUGCUUGAAAGGAAACGCCUUAUGCUUGAACGUAUGCAGGUUCUUGAGUUCAGAUAGAUUCUUAUGCUCGGCAGCAGAAAUCCUCGGCACAUGGUGUGUUGAACCGGUAGCGGACAUAAUUGGGCUUUUU